UAGAGCCGGAUGCGUCGAGAGGCGCUCGUCCGGUUCGACGGAGGCUCAUCGGAGUAAUCCUCGCUUGGGUGCCUGGAGCGACGACGCUCGGCACACGAGAGUAAUCCCGGUGUUCUAUCCGAU
rnacentral:ncRNA from 1 species